rnacentral:rRNA from 1 species
UACGUAGGGGGCGAGCGUUGUCCGGAAUUACUGGGCGUAAAGGGUACGCAGGCGGUCAUGUAAGUCAGAUGUGAAAUCCUAAGGCUUAACCUUAGUAAGCAUUUGAAACUGCGUGGCUUGAGUUAAGGAGAGGAAAGUGGAAUUCCUGGUGUAGCGGUGAAAUGCGUAGAUAUCAGGAGGAAUACCAGUGGCGAAGGCGACUUUCUGGCCUUAAACUGACGCUGAGGUACGAAAGCGUGGGGAGCAAACAGGAUUAGAUACCCUGGUAGUCCACGCUGUAAACGAUGAGUGCUAGGUGUCGGGUGUCAAAGCUCGGUGCCGCAGUAAACACAUUAAGCACUCCGCCUGGGGAGUACGUUCGCAAGAAUGAA